GAAUUUCUGGUCGCUGCCGUUCUGUGACUGUCAUAAGUUACGUUAUCGCUGCCGGAGAAGCUGUUGUGGUUGUCGGAACCAUCACCGGAGCUCCUGCAGUUUGAUUUAGUCUUUAAUCCUUUCUCACGGGUCAAGCUCCGAUUGUUGCGGG